GAAAGGUCAUGGAACCCAUAGGGCACCGCACUGAGGUAUGAAAUGAAGGACGAAUUAAACUCGCUUCGGGCUCAAGCUUAGAUAAAAGAGUUACAAUGAGUCCACUAGUCCAGAAAUGGAAAUUUGAUAGAAAGCUCAAGCUGAGAAAGUCACAAUCCUUUGAAUAAGAUCGGCUCAAGGGGAAAAAAGAAAGAACCUCUUCGACUGGGUCAACCAACCCUACGUUCAGUCUCGUGUCUAUAAGAUCAACCGAUACGCUACAGGUAAGAUGAACCCAGCUAUCACUGGAUUGAAGCCUAGAUGGCAUUGAUCAGAACACUAGGAUAAGAUCGUUGGAACUUUAGAAGUAGAAGGGUCUCCGUUUACAUGAUCAGUCAGAUAAAAGAUAAUGAAUUAAUUUCACUUUUCUAUCCCCAAUCAAUGGUCGAGCUAUUGACAUCCGUUAGUAGCGGCCGUUAAAGGAAAGGAAUUGGUUCGCUUUCGUUUGUGGAAGGCCCAUGCAUGAAUGAAGUGAGGCUCCUCAACAAGCAGAAGCAAGCACUGAGUUCGGAAACUCAAUCAAAAGGCGAAGACCUCAUCCUCUUAUUACCAACCGUGUACAUUCUACAUACGAGAUGCUUCCAUCACGGCCGGGCCCUAGCCUGAAGCCAGAGUCAGAGUUUCCCUAAGUCCCAUGUCUCCUAAACCCGCGCGAAAGAAUAAAAAAUCAGGGGCAGGAAAUGAAAUUGGGAAACCGAAAGGUGAAGGAAAUGAAAUUGUGAAACCGUAAGGUUCAGGAUAUGAAAUUGGGAAACUGAUAGGUGAAUGAAAUGCAAUUGUGAAACCGACGGAGGAAGUGAAGGGGAAGGAGUUUACAAUGAAAGAACAGAGAAGGAGCGCAGCAGUGAGACCAAUAAGUGAAAGAGAAAGAAGAAUACAUAAAUAGGUUCUGGUUACGGUGAAGGUGAGGUAGUUAUUGAUCAUUCAUCCUUCUUCUUCAAGAACUCCUUUUCCUCUCCUCUCCUGUAAAGGAUUGAAUUCAUCUUGUCUUGCUUCAGUCUUUCCUCUCCUGUAAAGGAAGAUCUGAUUCUUCUUCUUUCACUGUUCAGUCUCAUUCAUCUUUCAUUGUUCAAUCACAAUCCAGGAAUAUCGGAAAAGAAGAAUAGAGGUUCAGCAGGAGAAGAUCAAGAAUAAGUAGUCUUUGUUUACAGGUCAGGUAAUAUCUGUUCAGGAAAGAGCUACUUUUACCUUCUUCAAUCAGGUCAAAGCCUCAAAGUCAAAAGCAGGAAUCCGAGAAAACAAGACCCCUACGUCUUUCUUGUAAACUAAUUAUUCGAUCUGUAGAUCCCAGCAAGGCUGCCACAUCACUAAACCACCCAGGGAUGUCUCUUGCAAAGAAGAAUUCGUAGAGAUUUUUCCAGAACCCCAGUCCAGCCUACCCGACUGAUAUAAUCUAGAAUCCACUCUCUGCCUUUACUUAACUUAGUAGUAGGCGAAUAGUGACCUUAUUUGUAUGCGCAUUCACAGGGCACGUUCCAAGAUCUCCCGCAACGAGAACCUAAGACAUGGUUGAUUGAUAGUAAGUUGAAAGAAUAAAUGGAUCGAUCAUAAGUUGGUUGAAUAUUGAGUGUAGCUUAGGCUACGUCUUCUGUUUACGCGCUACGUCGCCGGCACACAGGAUCUUAGACAGGUUUCGUCCCCUUUCGGACCUUCUUACUAGUUAGUACGGUAAAAGCAUGAUGCAAAUAGACCGAAAAAAGAAGAGUUCUUUAUAGAUGAGUUGUAGUCGAUUCGCCCGUUAUGGCUCGUCUCGCGCUUAGUCACUCUCGUCGGAUAGGGGGAAGUCUUUUCUGAAAAAACUCGCUGUUAGUUCUUCAUAUAUAUAUGAUUGAUUUUUGAGAUACUAACUCUUUGGUUGGAUCGGACAGGGAACUUCUAUAAAGAUCUUUCCACUCAUUCAUCAUACUCAAAGUCGAAGUCACGGCCGGGGGCUCGGAAAAAGAACUUGAAUCGGUGUCGUGGUGGUACUACGAGAUGGCGAUUUCUUGUAGUAUAGAAGAAUAGAUCCGCAAACCUAUUGUAUUGAUUGACCAUAGAUGCGACCGCUAUCUAAGAGAAUCUCAGUAGUUCUUCUAUCGUUCAAGGGCAAGGGGAAAGUAGCGGCUUGCCUAGAUCUCGUAUUUCCCACGUAGUCCGUCGGUCAAACCAAGGAUUCUCUGAUCAAAGUAAUAUAGAGAUUCUUUUUUUUUGUUCUGGUAUGUAGGCGAGCUAGGAGCGCAUCAAUCGGGUCAAAAACUCAGAUAGGAUCAUCAUCAUGGCCCUUUUCUUCUUUCUUUUGUUUGUGUCCGGCUUUAUUAGUGAAAAAGAGGUGUGGUGUGUGGGUUUUUUAAGGCUUAUCUGUGGGCUGCUGCUCUGGGGCAUCCAAUUCCUCUUCUUUCUUUCUUUUCCUGAGGA